AUGUUUGGCAGUGAUCUGGGUUUCCAUGUACUUGAUAGAUGCAUUCCUUAUGUGUUCCAUCUAUGCAUCUAUGUUUCUGCCCAUAAAUGUACUUAUGAGCUGGCUCCAUUUUUUACGGCUUUCCCGUGGCAAUUUGAAAAGUACCCUUUAUUCCCGUACAAAGGGCUAUACAUGCAUUUAAAGAAGUGCACAUUUUCUAUAAACAUAAGCAUUGUCUUACCCCCACUGCUCUCUGGCGUGCAGCGAAGAUUUCAUCCUCAACCUCCCUCACGGCCCCAGAUUCGGCUACUUUCCAGUUUUGUUAGUUUUCUUCUUGGUAGCACUGAACACCAUGGAAACAUGGGCGUAGUGGCCACCCACAUGCAUUUGUCGUCCUCCUUAAAAUUCAAUUAG
rnacentral:rRNA from 1 species